rnacentral:rRNA from 1 species
UACGUAGGUGGCAAGCGUUGUCCGGAUUUACUGGGCGUAAAGAGCGCGCAGGCGGCCGAGUAAGUCGAGUGUGAAAGCCCCCGGCUCAACUGGGGAGGGUCAUUCGAUACUGAUCGACUCGAAGGCAGGAGAGGGAAGUGGAAUUCCCGGUGUAGUGGUGAAAUGCGUAGAUAUCGGGAGGAACACCAGUGGCGAAGGCGACUUCCUGGCCUGUUCUUGACGCUGAGGCGCGAAAGCUAGGGGAGCAAACGGG